rnacentral:pre_miRNA from 1 species
GCGGACGCCUUCAAGGGCCACGGGAUGCUGCGGCGAGCCAAGACCAUAGUCAAGGGUAUGUCCCGCCGCGCCGCGCUGCGGGGAUACCCUUGACUACGGUCUUGGCUCGCCGCAGCAUCCCCUGGCCCUUGAAGGCGUCCGCA